rnacentral:misc_RNA from 1 species
AAGUCGUAACAAGGUUUCCGUAGGUGAACCUGCGGAAGGAUCAUUAACGAAUAACUAUGGUGUUGGUUGUAGCUGGCUCCUCGGAGCAUUGUGCACGCCCGCCAUUUUUAUCUUUCCACCUGUGCACCGACUCUUGGUCUGGAUACCUCUCGCCUCCCUUCUCUUAGGGUUAAAGCGGAUGCGGGGAUUGCUCGCAAGGGCUCUCCUCGAACUUCCAGGCUCUACGUCUUUUUACACACCCCAAUAGUAUGAUCCAGAAUGAUAGUCAAUGGGCUUUCAUAGCCUAUAAAACACUAUACAACUUUCAGCAACGGAUCUCUUGGCUCUC